GCGUCCGGGUUCGAGAAGAUUCUUUAAUUUAUAAUUUCUCUUCUUUUUUUCUGUAUUUUAUUUAGCUUCUGUCUCAAUAGGGUUGUCGAUGCCAUCCAGGGCUUCAUUGUAAGAGCGCGGAUUUCGACUAUGGAAUCAGAACAGUAGGUUUCGUUAUUUCUACAAGAUAGAUUAGGUAUCUUUUUAUUGAUUUAUUCCUUCAUUCUAUUAAAAACAUACGCUAGUAUCUAAUAUUUCGCAUAUACCUGUUCACAAAUCUUGUCACAAUAAGUUAUAAAUAUUUUUUCAUAUUUCUAUACUGAACUACCCGGUUCUUGACCGAUCCACCAGAACGGUUGAUAUCUGUGCUGCCUGGAACUGCGCGUUUCACUGCAGCCAGGUAUAGGCAGUUUUCUGUGACCGAAGACAAAAAAAAAAAAAAAGAAAGAAGAACUCACAUUAGCAACAUCUACAGACUUUAUGCAUGUAAAUUAUUCUUGCAACAAACAAUGGUGUUCUAACUGGCAAUUCAAAGUAUCAUGCACAAAGCGGCGAUGCCGUAUCCCACCAAUUAGCUUUUACGGGCACAGAUGUGGUGUGGCGGUAUCCCCGUUAUGCCACCUCUGCAAUGAGCCGGAAUGCAUCGAUCGCUUUUUAUUAUCAUGUCGGCGGUUUUCUGCUCAUCGAAAACUAUGUUUAUAAAUUCCGCUUCGAAAUCUAGGACUGCCUUUGUGCAGUACUGUUGUACUCUCACGUGGAGCAACGGUAUUAGGAUAGAGCCACAGGAACGUUUGCCAGUUAGAAUUUCAUCCGUGACACAAAAAGAUUGCCUUAUUAAUAUUUCGCAUUUGCUAUGAGUGAUAUAUUUCUCCUUCAGUAAGCUGUAAAUAUAGAAAAGUCAAAGCAAAAACACACAUUCACAGUUAUAUUAAUAAUAUUAUUAUUCGAAACUUGCUCAUUUUUACGUCUAUCCUCCAUGUAUUUUAUUAAUAAUUUUGUGUUACGAUAUUCCUAUCUAGGCAAGGCUGACUACCUUAUUAUACACUACUUUAUUUCAUUUAUUAUCGGUUUAUUUCUCAUCUUAGAAUAUUCAUGUAUUUCCCCUUUUUAUUAUGUAUCUAUUUAUCAACUAAUUUAUUUCAUUUUUCAAUCAUAUUACCAUCCGGUUCGUGGCCUGUCACCCACAGUGGGUUUGUGCCAUUAAUUCAGGCUUCACCAUCAUCAUCAUCGCUAACACCUAGCCUCUACAUAUACAUCUAGAUAGAUCGUACCUCGCGCUGGCCCGUGGAACGAGGCCUCGAGGUAAGCCCCCAUUGCCGUAACGAACCAUUCCUGUCUUGGGUGCCCCAGCGCGAGGACGUGUUCUUACAGGCUCUGGACAUCCUGUCCCUGUCGUUCCCUCUGGACGCUCGAGAAGAUCCAAGGUACACGUCGCUAUGGUACACGACAGGCACCUUGUCGUUACAAUAGAUGACGUCAACAAGCUUCAGCAGUUUACGCCUGGAGUGGAACCCAUUGGGUUUCCAGCAUACCAAGUGGCAUCUAGGAUGCAGGGACGUAGAGUGCAGAUCCAGAUGAAGCACCAAAUGCGCGUGUGUGCUCGUUCGGGACACCAGAGGCCUGUCACCCACAUAACCACAACGCUUGUGGGUGUCGCCCUGGACUUGGUCAGACGCCUUCUGCACUACAUAGUCCAUUGCCUGCUGUAGCACCACUAUUAAAGUGCCAUCAUCAUUUGCAACAUAAAUGGCGACUGCGGGAGGGUGGGGGGAGGGCCUCCCCAAGCGAUGCCGAAGUCAACUCCCCCCACCUAAAGCGUCAUUACGAGAGUUCUGUUACCCAUAUUUGAGCUGUCUUUUGGGUUGUCUCUACCUUUUCAGAAAAAAAUGUAUUGUGUGUGGCUAAAAGCUUAGUCACAAGUUGGCGCAGACGUGCAAAUCUCACGAUAGGAGGACAAGCGCAUUAGAAGAACCAGAGACGGCUACCUCACCCGCGUGUUUUUCACUUCAGCAUUUUUUGUUAAAUUUAUACUACGAUUGAUUAAAAACUUUAUUCUUCCACCGA